UUUAUUUUUACGUUUAUUAGUAGGUAUUUAGGUAACAUUUAUUUUAUGACGUCCAUUCCGUGUUUUAAUUACUGAAGCCCGCCACGAUCCAUCUUGCAGUCCGUCCGAAAAGGCAGUUAUUACAUUCGAGCAAAACAAGUGUUUCAUACUUCCCCGUCCUCCUCUUUUUCGGGUGAACGGCAAAAUAGAUCUAUUAGCUAUUUGGAAAUAAGGCAGCUUUUUCUUACUUCUUGCCAUAUAACAGAUUACUGGAAGGUUUCCAAUGCACAUUAACGAUCUCUUGUACAAUGUCCGUAAGCUUAGGUAACCAAAUAUUGUUAAUAAUCAUUUUCUUAGCCUAUUAUGUUAAUGUGAUUGUUGCUUCAACCCAUCAAUACGGUGCUGGAAUUGUUUUGUAUAGAUCAUCCAAUUCGUAAACUAAUAUUCACUUCAUUUUGUACGUUUCCAAUCAUUUCGUUUGUGUAUUUCGUAAAAGACUGAUCAAUAUUUUCGAUGUGUUCUUAUUAGAAAUUAUUUUAUUGUGUACGUUUUAUUUCCGAAUGUAUCAAUUGUAAUUUUAGAUUUAACAUCUGUGUAUAAUGCCCAAGCACUCUUAAAUUCCUAGUAUAAUUUGUACAAACUCUAAUUUGUUUAUGAAAGUACCACUGUGAAUAUCUAUAGAAUUAUCUGUAGACUUUUUCUAUACUAAUUCCGUAUCAAUUUGAACGCAUCGCAUGCUACUUUUCGUGCUUGGAAAAGGCACAAUGUCUAUCGCCUUUGUUUUAAAAUGCAAUUAUUUUAGUGCAAUUAAAAUGGCGCCCGCAAUAUUGCAAAUGGCGGCUAAUGUAAAUGUAGCAGUAAGUUUGUAGGCGAUGUUUAUUUUGUAAAAAUUCCCGCGCUGCGUCUCGGGGCACAGUGGAUUCGCAAAAUUAUACAUAUGUAUAUGAACAAAUAAAUUAUGUGAGACCAUAA